GGUGUGCUGGGCCAAUGGGUAACCUUCCCAGUUCGUGGAUGGCAUCUCAGAUGCAGCCUGGAUGUUUCAGACUGGUGACAGAGGAGGUGGAGGAGACAGGAGUCCCCUCAUUGUCACCACAGUGCGGUUGCCUAAGGCCUGCGUAUGAAGGUCCCUACGGUUACAGAUGUGAAACCGAGAUGAUGAAGGGGAAGAGAUGAGAACUCGAAGGCCCUGGUAGACCUCCUCCAAGUCUGGGCUCCUUGCUCAGACCCAGCCUCCAACGGUGGACCCCCAUCAGCCCUUGGAGAGACUGUUCCCUGGAGCUGAGUGCAGACUGUAUGUCUCUCAGCUACUGAGUUCCUGGACUUCCUCAUCUCCGCUCCAGGGCAUGACUAGCUAUGCCCACAGGUGGCGAAUCACUCUGAUGUCAUAGAGCUGGCUAUCCUGGCACCAUAGUGUGUCCCUCAGACGUCAUUUAGUAGUUUCAUUCUCCUGCUUUAAACACACCUGGGUGCCUCAGGGGCACAGAAAGGGGGAAACUGACAUUCUAGUGGCAUCUCAGCCUCCCAAGCGGGGAGGACUUCCGGCAAAACUCCCUAGAAGGAUAGGAAGAUCCUCUAAGGAGACUUCCUUUGUGCCCUAAACCCGAAUCUCGCUCUUUCUGAGCAUAUCUACUUUGUGCGUACGUGCGUGCGUGCGUGCGUGUGUGUG